rnacentral:rRNA from 1 species
AGAGUUUGAUCCUGGCUCAGAUUGAACGCUGGCGGCAUGCUUUACACAUGCAAGUCGAGCGGCAGCGCGGGGGCAACCCUGGCGGCGAGCGGCGAACGGGUGAGUAAUGCAUCGGAACGUGUCCCGUAGUGGGGGAUAACCCGGCGAAAGCCGGACUAAUACCGCAUAUGCUCUACGGAGGAAAGGGGGGGACCCGCAAGGGCCUCCCGCUAUGGGAGCGGCCGAUGUCCGAUUAGCUUGUUGGUGGGGUAAUGGCUUACCAAGGCGACGAUCGGUAGCUGGUCUGAGAGGAUGAUCAGCCACACUGGGACUGAGACACGGCCCAGACUCCUACGGGAGGCAGCAGUGGGGAAUUUUGGACAAUGGGGGCAACCCUGAUCCAGCCAUGCCGCGUGCGGGAAGAAGGCCUUCGGGUUGUAAACCGCUUUUGUCCGGAAAGAAAAGGCGCUCCCUAAUACGGGGCGUUCUUGACGGUACCGGAAGAAUAAGCACCGGCUAACUACGUGCCAGCAGCCGCGGUAAUACGUAGGGUGCGAGCGUUAAUCGGAAUUACUGGGCGUAAAGCGUGCGCAGGCGGUUCGCAAAGUCUGAUGUGAAAGCCCCGGGCUCAACCUGGGAACUGCAUUGGAAACUAACGGGCUCGAGUGUGGCAGAGGGGGGUGGAAUUCCACGUGUAGCAGUGAAAUGCGUAGAGAUGUGGAGGAACACCGAUGGCGAAGGCAGCCCCCUGGGCUAACACUGACGCUCAGGCACGAAAGCGUGGGGAGCAAACAGGAUUAGAUACCCUAGUAGUCC